rnacentral:tRNA from 1 species
GCCCAGAUAGCUUGAUGGUUAGGUGUUCGACUAACAAUCGUUCACUUAGGGUUCGAAUCCCAUUUGGGUU